UACGUAGGUGGCAAGCGUUGUCCGGAAUUAUUGGGCGUAAAGCGCGCGCAGGCGGUCCUUUAAGUCUGAUGUGAAAGCCCACGGCUCAACCGUGGAGGGUCAUUGGAAACUGGGGGACUUGAGUGCAGAAGGGGAAAGCGGAAUUCCACGUGUAGCGGUGAAAUGCGUAGAGAUGUGGAGGAACACCAGUGGCGAAGGCGGCUUUCUGGUCUGUAACUGACGCUGAGGCGCGAAAGCGUGGGGAGCAGACAGG
rnacentral:rRNA from 1 species